GUGCAAACAAGGAAAGGCUUACGGUGAAUACCUAAGCACCUAAAGAUGAGGAAGGGUGUAAUAAGCGACAAAAUGCUUCAGGGAGUUGAAAAUAAGCGUAGAUCCGGAGAUUCCCGAAUAGGUCAACCUCUUGAAUUGCUGUUGAAUCCAUAGGCAGACAAGAGACAACCUGGCGAACUGAAACAUCUUAGUAGCCGAAGGAAAAGAAAGCAAAAGUGAUUCCUGUAGUAGCGGCGAGCGAAACGGGAGCAACCUAAAUUGUGAAAAUGGGGUUGUGGGAGAGCAAUAAAGCGUCGUGCUGCUAGGCAAAACGGUGAAAUGACAAACCCUAGAUGGCAAUAGUCCAGUAGCCGAAAGCAUCACUAGCUUACGCUCAGACCCGAGUAGCAUGGGGCAUGUGGAAUCUUGUGUGAAUCAACAAGGACCACCUUGCAAGGCUAAAUACUCCUAGGUGACAGAUAGCGAAGUAGUAUUGUGAGGGAAGGGUGAAAAGAACCCUUGUUGGGGAGUGAAAUAGAACAUGAAACCGUAAACUCUCAAGCAGUGGGAGGAGCCAAGGGCCAUAACCGCGUGCCUGUUGAAGAAUGAGCCGAUGACUCAUAGGCAGUGGCUUAGUUAAGGGAACUCACUAGAGCCGUAGCGAAAGCGAGUAUUCAUUAGGCAAUUGUCACUGUUUAUGGACCCAAACCUAGGUGGUCUAUCCAUGACCAAGAUGAAGCUUAGGUGAAACUAAGUGGAGGUCCGAACCGACUGAUGUUGAAGAAUCAGCGGAUGAGUUGUGGUUAGGGGUGAAAUUCUAUUCGAACCCAAAGCUAGUUAGUUCUCCUCAAAAUGCAUUGAGGCGCAAUAGUUGACUAGACAUCUAGAGGUAAAACACUGUUUCGGUGUGGGCCGCGAGAGAGGUACUAAAUCGAGGCAAACUCUGAAUACUAGAUAUGACCUCAAAAUAACAGGGUUGAGGUCGACCAGUAAGACGAUAGGGGAUAAGCUUCAUCGUCAAGAGGGAAAAAACCCAGAUUACCAACUAAGGCCCCUAAAUGACCGCUUAGUCAUAAAGGAGGUAGGGGUGUAGAGACAGCCAGAAGGUUUGCCNNNNNNNNNNAAAGAGUGUAUAAUAGUUCACUGAUCGAGCGCUCUUGCGCCGAAGAUGAACGGGGCUAAACGAUUUGUCGAAGCUGUGAGAUGUAAAAAUGCAUCAGUAGGAGAGUAUUUCGCCUUAGGGGAAAGCACCUGCGUGAGCGGGAGUAGACGAAGCGGGAGCGAACGUAUGUUGAUGGGUAUUAAUCAAUUUACUUGUUCUUUUUUCCAUUA
rnacentral:ncRNA from 1 species